UACGGAGGGUGCAAGCGUUGCUCGGAAUUAUUGGGCGUAAAGGGUAGGUAGGUGGUCUCAUUUGUCUGAGGUGAAAGCCUUGGGCUUAACUCAAGAAGUGCCUCAGAAACGGUGAGACUAGAGUCCUGGAGAGGGUCGUGGAAUUCCCGGUGUAGCGGUGAAAUGCGUAGAGAUCGGGAGGAACACCAGAGGCGAAGGCGGCGACCUGGACAGGCACUGACACUCAACUACGAAAGCGUGGGGAGCAAACAGG
rnacentral:rRNA from 1 species